GUACAUGCCUAUAACAUAGAGUUAAUGCACCAGAUCCCAUUAGAACUUCGUAGUUAAUUGUGCUCGGGAUAGAGUAGUAAUGGGAUGGCUGACCACCCAUAAAGUUCUAGUGUUUUACAUG
rnacentral:rRNA from 1 species